GACGAACGCUGGCGGCGUGCUUAACACAUGCAAGUCGAGCGGAGCGGCGCACGGGUGAGUAACGCGUGAGUAACUGCCCCCCUCUCUGGGAUAACAGUUGGAAACGGCUGCUAAUACCGGAUAGUGGGGGAUGAUUGGCGUACUAUCAGCUUGUUGGUGGUGUAUUGGCCUACCAAGGCGACGACGGGUAGCCGGCCUGAGAGGGCUACCGGCCACAUUAGGCUGAGAUACGGGCCAAACUCAUACGGGAGGCAGCAGUGGGGAAUAUUGCACAAUGGGGGAAACCCUGAUGCAGCAACGCGCGUGCGGGAUGACGGCCUUCGGGUUGAAAACCGCUUUCAGCCAUGACGCGGUAGUGGCAGAAGAAGCACCGGCUAACUACGUGCCAGAAGCCGCGGUAAUUC
rnacentral:rRNA from 1 species